UACGAAGGUGGCAAGCGUUGUUCGGAUUUACUGGGCGUAAAGGGCGCGUAGGCGGCUCGUGAAGUCGGGUGUGAAAGCCCGGGGCUCAACCCCGGAACGGCAUCCGAUACUGGCGGGCUUGAGACCGGGAGAGGAGGGUGGAAUACCCAGUGUAGAGGUGAAAUUCGUAGAUAUUCGGAGGAACACCAGUGGCGAAGGCGGCUCACUGGUCCGGUACUGACGCUGAGGUGCGAAAGCGUGGGGAGCAAACAGG
rnacentral:rRNA from 1 species